UCAUCCAUCUCGUCCAAUAUGAACAAGCUUUAUCUACAAGUUUUGCUCAUUGCCGUCCUGGUGGCCGUGUGUCUGGCAUCUUGGAAUGAGUAUGGUGACGGGUCAAGGCCACAGACGUAUGAAGUCCGCUAUGAUGAACCCCCACAGGCAUAUCACCAACCAUCAUCGGGUUGCUAAGCAACGAGGAGAGUACCUGAUUAAACCAGUCAAAUCAUAAGCUGUAAUUAAGGAGUGGUUGCAGUCAGUUUACUCGCGUUGCCAUAUUUGUUUUGUAACAAGUCAUUUAUAUGGGUUAAUAAAUAAAAUUGCAAAAUUAAA